GAUGAAUGCUGGCGGCGUGCCUAACACAUGCAAGUCGAGCGGCAGCGAGGGGUGCUUGCACCCUGUCGGCGAGCGGCGAACGGCUGAGUAACGCGUAGGUAUUUGCCCCAAAGUGAGGAAUAACUGCCCGAAAGGGUAGCUAAUGCCGCAUAUGGUCUUCGGAUUAAAGGAUUUAUCCGCUCUGGGAGAAGCCUGCGUUGGAUUAGGUUGUUGGUAGGGUAAUGGCCUACCAAGCCGACGAUCCAUAGCUGGUAUGAGAGGAUGAGCAGCCAGACUGGAAGUGGGACACAGUCGAGACUCCUACGGGAGGGAGGAGUGAGGAAUCUACCACAGUGGCCGAAGGGAUGAAGGUGCUACGACGCGUGAAGGAUGUAGGCUGUCGGGUAGUAAACUUCUUUUAUGAGUGAAGAUUAUGACGGUAACUAAUGAAUAAGCACCGGCUAACUACGUG
rnacentral:rRNA from 1 species